GGUGCUAUAGUGUAGUGGUUAUCACUCAGGAUUUUGAGAUCAUAUUCCUGGAACCCAGGUUCGAACCCUGGUAGCACCU